CCUACGGGUGGCAGCAGUGAGGAAUAUUGGUCAAUGGGCGCGAGCCUGAACCAGCCAAGUAGCGUGAGUGAAGAAGUAUCUCGGUAUGUAAAGCUCUAUCAGCAGGGAAGAAGAAAUGACGGUACCUGAGUAAGAAGCCCCGGCUAACUACGUGCCAGCAGCCGCGGUAAUACGUAGGGGGCAAGCGUUAUCCGGAAUUACUGGGUGUAAAGGGAGCGUAGACGGUGAUGUAAGUCUGGAGUGAAAGGCGGGGGCCCAACCCCCGGACUGCUCUGGAAACUAUGUGACUGGAGUGCAGGAGAGGUGAGCGGAAUUCCUAGUGUAGCGGUGAAAUGCGUAGAUAUUAGGAGGAACACCAGUGGCGAAGGCGGCUCACUGGACUGUAACUGACGUUGAGGCUCGAAAGCGUGGGGAGCAAACAGGAUUAGAUACCCGGGUAGUC
rnacentral:rRNA from 1 species